ensembl:lncRNA
CAUCCCCUCUCAGCACUCCCGGAGGAGCCGCGCCAAAUCUACGGCACAACAAUCGAAAAAAGCCCAGUUUAACCCGCCCGGCCUGAGCCGAAGGUGGCCGGGACGGAGGAGAUCAGCCCUACCUUUGGUGUCCCGGGGGCUGCUGCCGUGUGUCCCCGCGGGGCUGCAGCAGGUCCCCCGGCGGGUCCCUCCCUCGCCGCGCAAAGCAAAAGCGCAACUGCGGGGAGCGGCUGCGCCGUGGGGAGCGGGACGGGCACGGCGGGGCCCGCGGCGCCGCUUCGGGGUGUCCCUGCCCCGGAUCCUGCCUGGCAUCGCCCGCUUUCCUUCUCUUUUUGCGGUUUUACAGAUGUUCGUAAAGGUGCUGGUGGCCUCGGGGUGUUUUGGCUGCUGUGGUGGUCUCGGGGUGUUUUGGGAGCUGUCGCUGUGAGCCUGCUGGGAAAGGCUCCUUCGCUCUUGCCUGGAUGUUCCCACCCCUGUGCUGCAGUCCCUGCUCCCGGUGCUUUGGGGGGCUUUAGGGUCCCCCCGAGGCUGAUCGUGGGAAGGUUUGGGCUCCCCAAAAGCAGCGAGUCCUCCUUAGUCAUUAUUACCUUAUUCAGGGGAUUCCCGCAGCUCUCAUGGAGCAAAGCAGGGUGAGCUCCAAGGGCUCUCCUUUUCCAAACGUGCCAUGAAGUGGUGUCACCCACGGCCACAUCCCUGGACCAUCGUGGUCCCCGGCCAUCGGCAGAGGGCAGAGCUGGCUGCGCUUUGAGGUUGAAAAGCAGCACUUCUCUGCUUAUCCGACAGAGGACUCCGGCUCACGAAACAUCAAGAGUUCUUGCUAAGAUCAAGAGGGAGCAACGAUUCAACUGCUUAAUCUGAAAAAGUGACUUUUAAACCCAUUUCUGGAGAAGUUCUGAAGAGAUUUGCAACUUUUAAAUUUGCGUUUAUUCAUUUUUCUUACGCACCUUCCCAGGAGAGCAGCAUACAUAUAUUAUAUAUUAUACAUCAUACAUACAUUAUAUUACAUUACACCUGCUCCUUUAAAGCACCAUUGAUUUACUCAUAUCACAAUUCCAACUUAGGCUCUGUAGCUCUUUACACUCCUUUUUAUGGUGGUUUGCAGGAGGUUGAUGGCUCUUACAGCCUUGCAGAGCACAGGAUUUGUCACCCUGUGGUGGCCCAGCCCCUCUCUAAGGCUCUGUGGAUCCCAUCUCCCAAAAAUGCAGCCCUGUUCCUGUUCCAACAGCUGAUGCUCCUGCUGGUUAAAGCUUCCAGCUUUAUUCUGAAGCUGCUGGUGAUUUGAUGGGUUUUAAUUAAUGUGGGAGUCAAAGCUUUCAGCACUGUGGGAUCUUCUGGUCAGAGCUGUCCCCGUGGUGCAGGGCUGGGUUUUGGCCUGAUGCUUUUGGGCUGGCAGCAGGGGGGUUGGGGUUUAGGGGGCUCGUUGGUGUUGAGGUCUCACAGAGCUCUCCAUGGAGGAUGCUGCCUCAGCUCAUGUCAGACCAGGGCUGUUUCCCUAAUUUCAGCAGGAUCUGGGAUGUGAAACUUUCCCAGCACCUCCCAGCAGCUGCCUCUGCUGUGCUCUCAUUUAUUUCCUCUCCCUCUCCCCAGAACUGUGUGAUGUGACACCUGGGGGUCCCCAAGCUCCUCUUGCCCCACCAGCAUUUCCUUGUGUGACCCUGGCACCUCCCUGCCUCCCGCAAGGAUCGAGGGGGAUGGUUUGGAGGUGACUUUAACAGACAACAAAAUUGAGGCCAGUCCAGGAAUCACCAAACCCCUGGGGCUGAGCAGCACAUGGGCUCGGGGAUGGGCUCCUUUGC